rnacentral:misc_RNA from 1 species
GGGGGAUUCGCUUAGCGAUUUCCUGCCAAAUUGGAAAAGUCAUCAGCUUACAGCUCCAAGUUGGAAUUUCAGUAUGUAAAACACAAUGAGGAUAAAUUCUACAGCUUCCUAACAUCCAAAUCAAACCAAGGUGCUGGGCUCAAACCAUCAGGCCAUCAGUAGAUUCAGUACUUGGUAGACACUUGACAUAUACUCACUGUUCAAUAUAAUCAUAAAAAUCCCUCAGCUGUGACAAAAUCCAUAUGCAUUUUUCAUUCCCAAUGCGAAUGUGAUUAAUUAUAGGGGAAAUGUUACAGAGAAUUCUUUAAUCAGAAAACUAUAGCUGGUAAGAUUCACCUUAAAAUGAGUACUCCCUAGACAAAAGAAAGGGAAAGAGUGCUACUAUACUCUUCUUUACCAAUUAAGGCUCAAAUAGAACCUUCUACCACAUUUCUUAUUUCCCUUCCCUUUUCAUGAAGACCAUCAUCUUUAUCAUCAUUAAUAAGGUGUAGUUGUAACAGCAAAGUUCAGUUCUUCUCUAAUGAUUCUUAAAGUCGAUGAGAAAUAGGGUUUAAGUUUUGGGCUUAUGUUGAGUUACAAUCCAUUGAGAUUAUUCAAAUUUCAAACAGGGCUACUUUUCAAUACAUCGAUCAGUAAGGUUUAAUAUUCAUUUAAGCCUUUAACAGUCAUUUUAGUCCCAACUCCAUCCUGAUGAGGCAAAAUGCCCAAAUUUCAUAAGCAACACACUCACACAUUAGAUACUCAUUCAAGGAGAAUCUAAACCUUAACCUACAGUAGCGGGCUCGAACACUGUGUCUUUAACCCAUUGUUACCAGAGAUGCCUACCAAUUUACAAAAUACUAACUCAAGCCCAAUUACAUGGCCAAAGCCUGAUCACGUAAUGCAAGUCCCUUCAGGGAAUUUACCAAGAUUAAUAGUCCAAUCAACCUUCCUAGUCCUACAGAAACGAAGCAGAAAGGUACUGCAAUACCAAUAAGCAAGAAGCUCAUUCUGUCAAUAAAUUACCAAUAGUUGAAAAAUAACCCCAGAAUGGAUUGAGAAUAUCAAUUUGAAAAAUUUUUCAUCAAUAAAACUUAUUAUAGUAGACAAAUCAUGAAAAAGCCAAUGACUGAUCAAGCUGAUACUAGAAUGAAGUACCAAAAGAAUUGUCUGUUAUUGACAAGUGCAGCCAGUGCAGCUUUUAUCGAAAUGGACCCUACACAAUCUGGUUGUUGACUAUUUUCUUAUCCAAAGAUAGUGGUAACACCUGAUUUUGAAGAAACAUAAUAUCAAGAAGAUACUGAAAACACAACCUUCAAAGAGCGCGUGUUUGUGGGAUAGAAAGGGUGAAAAAGAGAGAGAUUUAAGGGUGGUAAUAAUUACUGAUUACAUAUAAACUACCUCCUCAUCUAACUCUUUCUUUUUU